GACAGAGGAGCCAAGCGUUGCCCGGAUUGACUGGGCGUAAAGCGCACGCAGGCGGAACGGCGCGUGGGGUGUGAAAGCUGGCGGCUUAACUGCCAGUCGCCAUCCCAUACGGCCAUUCUGGAGCCUUGCAGAGGGCAGUGGAAUUGCCGGUGUAGUGGUGAAAUGCGUAGAGAUCGGCAGGAACACCCAGGGGGAAACCAGCUGCCUGGGCAAGCGCUGACGCUGAGGUGCGAGAGCGUGGGGAGCGAACCGG
rnacentral:rRNA from 1 species